UACGUAGGGGGCGAGCGUUGUCCGGAGUUACUGGGCGUAAAGGGCGCGCAGGCGGUCUGGUAAGUUUGGAGUGACAGUGCUCGGCUUAACUGAGCAAGGCCUUCGAGAACUGCUAGACUUGAGCACUCAAGAGGGACAUAGAAUUCCGGGUGGAGUGGUGAAAUGCGUAGAUAUCCGGAGGAAUACCAAAGGCGAAGGCAGUGUCCUGGGGAGUGUCUGACGCUCAGGCGCGAAAGCUAGGGGAGCGAACAGG
rnacentral:rRNA from 1 species